rnacentral:rRNA from 1 species
GUGAACGCUGGCGGUAGGCCUAACACAUGCAAGUCGAACGGCAGCACAGUAAGAGCUUGCUCUUACGGGUGGCGAGUGGCGGACGGGUGAGGAAUACAUCGGAAUCUACUUUUUCGUGGGGGAUAACGUAGGGAAACUUACGCUAAUACCGCAUACGACCUACGGGUGAAAGCAGGGGAUCUUCGGACCUUGCGCGAUUGAAUGAGCCGAUGUCGGAUUAGCUAGUUGGCGGGGUAAAGGCCCACCAAGGCGACGAUCCGUAGCUGGUCUGAGAGGAUGAUCAGCCACACUGGAACUGAGACACGGUCCAGACUCCUAGGGGAGGCAGCAGUGGGGAAUAUUGGACAAUGGGCGCAAGCCUGAUCCAGCCAUACCGCGUGGGUGAAGAAGGCCUUCGGGUUGUAAAGCCCUUUUGUUGGGAAAGAAAAGCAGCAGGUUAAUACCCCGCUGUUCUGACGGUACCCAAAGAAUAAGCACCGGCUAACUUCGUG